GACGAACGCUGGCGGCGUGCUUAACACAUGCAAGUCGAACGGAAAGGCUCUAGCUUGCUGGAGUACUCGAGUGGCGAACGGGUGAGUAACACGUGGGUAAUCUGCCCUGCACUCUGGGAUAAGCCUGGGAAACUGGGUCUAAUACUGGAUAUGACCUUUCUCCUUAUGGGGUUUGGUGGAAAGUUUUUCGGUGUAGGAUGAGCCCGCGGCCUAUCAGCUUGUUGGUGGGGUGAUGGCCUACCAAGGCGACGACGGGUAGCCGGCCUGAGAGGGUGAUCGGCCACAUUGGGACUGAGAUACGGCCCAGACUCCUACGGGAGGCAGCAGUGGGGAAUAUUGCACAAUGGGCGGAAGCCUGAUGCAGCGACGCCGCGUGAGGGAUGACGGCCUUCGGGUUGUAAACCUCUUUCAGCAGGGACGAAGCGUAAGUGACGGUACCUGCAGAAGAAGCACCGGCUAACUAUGUG
rnacentral:rRNA from 1 species